rnacentral:lncRNA from 1 species
AAACUAAUAAAAAAUAAAUAAAUAUAUAAAUGGAUAUUGAGUGAUAUACUUACGGAUUUAACUACAAUCAAUCUUUAAUACGAGAACGUUGAAAGUUAAUGGAGAAUGAAUGAAAAUGCUGUUUUUAUCCGAACCUUGACAAAAAAAUCCAGAUGGUUUAACAUACUCUACAAAAUCCUUUACAAAAGAUUUGUAUUGGUUGUUUGAUGAUGACCACAGGCCAAAAACAUGACGAAGUCCAUUUCGGAACAACGAUAGUACCCUUUCCUUUACAAAUUAACAUAUGAUUUAAUGCUCUACCUACAAGGUGAACAGGAGGAACUAACCAACAGUUAUAAGUAUUCCACGAAAACCCGAAAGCAUCAACACCACUUGUAUCUGGACACCAAUACGCCGAAAAGAAAUUAGGUAAUUUGUGAUUGUUAUAGUCGGCAAAAACAUCACAAUCGAACGGACCCCAUAAAGAAUUAAAAUACUUGAAAUACACAUCAUUCACGUACCAGUCAUUAAAGUCAAACAGUUUACUGUAAAAAUCUGCAGUGGUGUUAAGCUCCCGGGGAACCCAUUCUACUUCAAGGGAUAUGCAAUUGCGAAUGCAUAGAUUAAAAAUUUUCAAAGCGAUUUCUUGUAAUUCUGAUCUCAUGCUCCCAGCCUGCACAAUUUUAACUACAUUUUGAUUGUCUGUAUAAAUUUUCACCAAACGAUUUUGAAAGUCGGGCAAUAAGGAAAAUAGGGUUAUAAAUACUGCUGAAAGUUCUCUGAAUGUAGAGCUUUUCUUCGCCUCGUCGGGAGUCCACAUUUUAUGUACAAUUUUAUUUGACGUUUGAACAGCAAACCCCGCACAAGCGAAACCACUUGCAUCAGUAAAGACAAUUCUAUCUGGCAGAAAUGAAACGGGUAAGAGAGAUUUCCUG